rnacentral:rRNA from 1 species
GACGAACGCUGGCGGCGUGCUUAACACAUGCAAGUCGAACGAUGAAGCCGGAGCUUGCUCCGGCGGAUUAGUGGCGAACGGGUGAGUAACACGUGAGUAACCUGCCCUUGACUCUGGGAUAAGCGUUGGAAACGACGUCUAAUACCGGAUACGAACCGCGACGGCAUCGUCUGCGGUUGGAAAGAAUUUCGGUCAAGGAUGGACUCGCGGCCUAUCAGCUUGUUGGUGAGGUAAUGGCUCACCAAGGCGACGACGGGUAGCCGGCCUGAGAGGGUGACCGGCCACACUGGAACUGAGACACGGUCCAGACUCCUACGGGAGGCAGCAGUGGGGAAUAUUGCACAAUGGGCGAAAGCCUGAUGCAGCAACGCCGCGUGAGGGAUGACGGCCUUCGGGUUGUAAACCUCUUUUAGCAGGGAAGAAGCGAAAGUGACGGUACCUGCAGAAAAAGCACCGGCUAACUACGUGCCAGCAGCCGCCGCCG